rnacentral:rRNA from 1 species
GCUCAGGACGAACGCUGGCGGCGUGCCUAAUACAUGCAAGUCGAGCGGACCGACGGGAGCUUGCUCCCUUAGGUCAGCGGCGGACGGGUGAGUAACACGUGGGUAACCUGCCUGUAAGACUGGGAUAACUCCGGGAAACCGGGGCUAAUACCGGAUGCUUGAUUGAACCGCAUGGUUCAAUCAUAAAAGGUGGCUUUUAGCUACCACUUACAGAUGGACCCGCGGCGCAUUAGCUAGUUGGUGAGGUAACGGCUCACCAAGGCGACGAUGCGUAGCCGACCUGAGAGGGUGAUCGGCCACACUGGGACUGAGACACGGCCCAGACUCCUACGGGAGGCAGCAGUAGGGAAUCUUCCGCAAUGGACGAAAGUCUGACGGAGCAACGCCGCGUGAGUGAUGAAGGUUUUCGGAUCGUAAAACUCUGUUGUUAGGGAAGAACAAGUACCGUUCGAAUAGGGCGGUACCUUGACGGUACCUAACCAGAAAGCCACGGCUAACUACGUGCCAGCAGCCGCGGUAAUACGUAGGUGGCAAGCGUUGUCCGGAAUUAUUGGGCGUAAAGCGCGCG